rnacentral:tRNA from 1 species
GUCCCUAUAGUCUAGUGGUUAUGACGUAACAUUGUGGAUCUGUUGAGGCGCCUGUUCGAUUCAGGCUAGGGACA